AGCAUAUAUACACGUGGUGAGUUAAUGCACGAGUUGACGAUUCUCUUAUUUUAUUAUAGUGCCAGUCUCAGUAUAUAGUUAUAUUUGUACCUAAUUGUUAAUUAUUGUGGAAAUAAUAAGUUUGAAUUUGGAAAACUUGAAUGACUUAGGUAAGUGUCAUGUUAUUUGAGCAAAGGUUUAAUCUAUUAAAAAAACUCAAAACACUGUGGGCCAAUGAUACUGCUGUUCUACUUACACCUAUAGAUGUUACAGACGAAAAUGACACGCAAGUUAUUAUUGACAAUAAUGAUGAAGUUGUAUUUGAAUAUGACACUCAAGUUAUUAUUGAAAGUAAUGAUAAAGUUGUAUUUGAAAAUGACACGCAAGUUAUUAUUGAAAGUAAUGAUGAAGUUGUAUUUGAAAGUGAAAAUAAGCUGUGUGGUGAGGUGGUUCGUCAAGAGAUAAGUAGGGUAGAUAACGUGGAGGGGAAUAUACAAGAGAAAAUGAACGUCCUAUUAGUCACCAAACUCUUCAAAUGAACGAUGUUGCUUUGUCGACAAUUAAAAUGCCAGUGGCAGUAAAGAAACGAGGACGCCCAAAAGGACAAGGCCUGACAACAAUAGGGCUACCAAAGGAAAAGAAAAGGAACCCCAAAACAUUUCCAAAUAAAUCCAGGGUUCCAUUCCAAAGAAAGGAUUCAAUUUCUAUAUUUUUUUCUUCUUAGUUUACAACAGGUUUUACAAUAAAUAAAGACUAAUUUUGGACUAAUUUAAUUAUGUAUUUAUCAUUACCCAUAAUUAAAAUACGUUUUAAUACUUCAAUUUGUUUUCUUUUUCGUUUAUAAGAAAAUCUUCUAAUAUUAAUAAAUUCUUUAUCAGAAAUUGAUACUAAGAUGGCCAGCCUCCAAGCGAACGGCAGCCGAAGAAAAUGCCGUCAAAUGCAUCAUAAGAAUGACACCAUAGCAUAGCUGUUAACGGCAUUAUAGUGCACCACCGUUUGACGGCAGUUUAAGUACAGCGUUUUUAUUAACUUAAAUGUGUGGUGUUACUAUAAAAAAUACUAACAAUUCAGUAAUAAGUAUACAUACAAUUUCACUAACUCACAUAGGUACCUAUGUAGUAAUAACACGGUAUAAGUAGUCACUUCUGUCGGCACUCCCUAAGUGCGACGCACCGUUAUUUAUUGUCUUUCGUUUUUGAAAUCUAUAUCUAGGUAUAUAAAUAUAAUAAAAAUAAAUUAAAC